UCUCGGCUCUUGCAUCGAUGAAGAACGUAGUGAAAUGCGAUACUUGGUGUGAAUUGCAGAAUCUCGUGAACCAUUGAGUCUUUGAACGCAAGUUGUGCCCGAGGCCUUGUGGUCGAGGGCACGCCUGCUUGGGCGUCAUGGCAUGUCGCCUUUGCUCCUUGCUU
rnacentral:rRNA from 1 species